rnacentral:rRNA from 1 species
GAUGAAUGCUGGCGGCGUGCCUAAUACAUGCAAGUCGAGCGGUAACAGGAGUAGUUUACUACUUGCUGACGAGCGGCGGACGGCUGAGUAACGCGUGGGAACAUGCCCCAAAGUGAGGGAUAAGCACCGGAAACGGUGUCUAAUACCGCAUAUGGUCUUCGGAUUAAAGGAUUUAUCCGCUUUGGGAGUGGCCCGCGUACGAUUAGUUUGUUGGUGAGGUAAUGGCUCACCAAGACUACGAUCGUUAACUGGUCUGAGAGGAUGAUCAGUCAGACUGGAACUGAGACACGGUCCAGACUCCUACGGGAGGCAGCAGUAAGGAAUCUUCCACAAUGGGCGAAAGCCUGAUGGAGCAACGCCGCGUGCAGGAUGAAGGCCCUCGGGUCGUAAACUGCUUUUAUGAGUGAAGAAUAUGACGGUAACUCAUGAAUAAGCACCGGCUAACUCCGUG